rnacentral:tRNA from 1 species
AUUUUUUUGAAAAAGUUUAAUAAUUUUGUUUUUUUUCUAUUUAAAAAAUCAUAUUUUAUUGAAUUUUAUUUUUAUAAAAAUAUUAUAGCAUAAAUGAUAAUAUUUUAUUAGAAAAAUAGAUAGAAAAGAUGAUAUUAUUUAAAGAUAUUCUUAGAUAUAAAAAUUGUAAAUUAAUUUUUUAAAAAAUU